UACGUAGGCAGCGAGCGUUGUUCGGAGUUACUGGGCGUAAAGGGUGUGUAGGCGGUUCUCUAAGUUUGGUGUGAAAUCUCCCGGCUCAACCGGGAGGGUGCGCCGAAAACUGGGGGACUCGGGUGCGGGAUGGGAGAGUAGAAUUCCUGGUGUAGCGGUGAAAUGCGCAGAUAUCAGGAAGAACACCCGUGGCGAAAGCGGCUCUCUGGGACGGUACUGACGCUGAGACGCGAAAGCGUGGGGAGCGAACAGG
rnacentral:rRNA from 1 species